rnacentral:rRNA from 1 species
UACGUAGGGUGCGAGCGUUGUCCGGAAUUAUUGGGCGUAAAGAGCUCGUAGGCGGUCUGUCGCGUCGGUCGGGAAAACUUGGGGCUUAACCCUGAGCUUGCGGUCGAUACGGGCAUGACUGGAGUUCGGCAGGGGAGACUGGAAUUCCUGGUGUAGCGGUGAAAUGCGCAGAUAUCAGGAGGAACACCGAUGGCGAAGGCAGGUCUCUGGGCAUUAACUGACGCUGAGGAGCGAAAGCAUGGGGAGCGAACAGG